CCCUCUCCCUUCGCAAGAAACAGCCCCCUGUUACUAUUCAUCAGCCGGGAUUUUGGGUCACCACCGUCGCAUCCGGCCACCGUUUCGGGAGGUACCGGUCCCGAAAGAACCAGGCCACCUCACUCUUUCCUUCCCGACCAGCCUCAGCCGCUGGAACCACCUGUGCUCACCGAAAAAUGACAAAAACCGACCGGUUUUAACCCAAAAUUCACGGAGCUCGUUCGGACUCCUCCGACCACCAUUUUCUUCGAUCCAGGAAGAACUUGAAGAAGGCAACGGAAAACUUGCUUUGCAUGAAGCCCCCAGUGGCGUGACUUACGAAUCACAAAGUUUGUGAUUGUUGAGGAGCCGCUCUAAGAAUAAUGGCCUAGUCCUUAGCAGAGUCGCCAUUUGUAUGAGGGUCUAUUUUGUUGAGAGAUGCAAUGGGCUUAUUGGACUAAUGUGAGGUGGACUGAGAUCUCCUUUACCCUUUUUGAGUUUGCAGCACCAGGCCCCAAAGCACCCCGAAAGAGUUUAAGACAGGGUAGUGAUUUGGUUAUAUUCAGUGGCUCCUUACAGGUUUUGAUGUACAAUUAAUAGGUACUGGAAUGAUUAUGCUUGAUUUUGUUGCGUUGGAAGUGCUUUUCUUGAAGUGAACUAUGUGCUGUAAGUAGUGGAAUUAAUAGUGCUGGAGAAGAUGCUAGAGGAAGUGGUCUCUAGUAAAGAGCAACUAUGUCGAUACUGUACGCUUCGCAUUAAUUGGAGCUUGCUUCAGUUAAUCAAUAUGAUGCUUGGCUUGAGAGGCUUAUGGUGUGAGAACAAGUCUCCAUAAGUUUAGUAAGAGAGAGUGCUUUUGCGGCUUGGAUUGGAAUAAGAUAUGUUGAAGGUGAGAUGCAUGUGGUGUUUUCGGGAGUUGGGAUGGUUUUCUGUGUGAUGUUUAGGGCUUGGAGUGGUGUUAUGAAAGAAGAGAAGCGUGAUGGAGGAAGGCUUGGGCUUUCUGUGUUUACGGCAGUGGGAGGAUGAGCUUGCCUCAUGCCGUUCUUCUUCUGGUUUCGGUGUGUGUAUUGCAAGGAGGGAUGAAGGUCUAUUUAUAGGCUAUAGAAUGAUUGUGCAAAGAAGGAUUCAUGAGUGUACAGUGCUCAACAGUUGGUUUUUCCAUGAGUGUGCAGUAAAGUGGGUUUGAGUUUUGGAAGAGGCUGGAAGUUCUGUCUCUACUUACCCAUGUAAUUAGGCUCAGGAAAGUGGGUAUGAGUUUUUGUACUCCCAAGCAGCCCUAAAACUUUUAUUGUCUGAUCCUUCAACGGGCUUUAUGAACAAUUAUAACCAUCCACACCACAACUCGUUCAGCAAUCUCCAUACAUAUAUGUGGCUUAGGUCCAUUUAAGUUUGUCGGGUAGUUUAGCAUAGGAAAAUGUAUCUUGCUUGGCACGACUUGUACAAUAUUUCUAUAUUUAUUUAAUGAAUUACUUCCCAAAAUA